CCGGCUUGCCCUGACUGCUUUCAAGCAAUCUCAUAGACUUGACCAUCAUCACUGAACUGACCCUCAUUUGUUGAUACUCAGCCCAGAAUUGAAAUCAUGUUCCUGUUCUCCAAGAGGCCCUCUAGAAAUGCCAGAGUUCUGGCACAGUACAAGGAAAGAGGCAACUCUUUAUGAAAUCUCUUUAUUCUUUGGAGACAGACUACAGAUGAGAAAGUUUGAGGAUAUGGAAGAAAAAAAAAAAAAAGAAAGAAAGAAAGGGCAUCACUGCAAAUAACAUUUGAAGCUAGGUGUGAUGACCACAAAUGCUUCACACUCUUUCCAUUCAGAGAUGGAAUCGAUUCCACCUCUUCUGGAACAUGGGAUGGAUUGUGACAAAUUUGACUACGAUGCAAAGAGGUUCAAUCUAGUCAUGGGGAAAGGCCAUGUGGAGAAAAGGUCCUAGCCAUCCAGAUAUUCCUGUCAUUCAUCAGACACUUCUAUCUAUGUCACCAUGUUGUCUGAAGAGACCCCAACCCACAGAGCAAGAUGUUCUGGAUCAACUCAGCACCUUACUCAGUAUAAGACUUGGCUGGCUGCCCACACAUCUGACCCGGCCCUUUCCAGAAGUUUCUAAGAUCCCCAAAAGAGAAUGUGGUAGUAUAUCUUCUCUCUUCUCAUAGAAUUUUCCUACUAACCAAUUUCAUUCAUGAGAAAAACAGAAGUUCAGAGAAGUUUAGUUAUGCCCCAAUAUCACAAAGCAGUAAGUGACAGAAUUGGGAUUUGAAUCAGGGUUUAUUUUACUCUAAACUCCAAUUAUGCAAAACAAAUAUUAGCCAGUAACAAACACAGCACUCUCUCUAUUCUGGCAUGGAGCCCAAAAAUGUGAAUGAUUUGAACAGUUAGAGCUACUGACUCUUCAAAUACAUAUUUGGCUGCAAAUAUACAUAUACCUUUUGGCUUAGGACAAUAUGAAUUGCAUUGUCAUCCAUGAGGGUCCAGAAUAAUACAAAAAUAUAAUCAUGAUAUUGAAGUUUCAGGAAAAUGAAAAUUAUACUCUUAAUAAGGUGGCUAGAGAAGCCUGCUUUAGUGGGUAAUGUUUUUAUAGUUCAACUCUAGAUUGGAUAGCAGUUGGGAUUAUAGAACAGCGAAGACGAUUUUGGAAAGUCUUAUUUUCAGCACCUUGGCAACCUCAAAGCUUCAUAAUAACAAAGAUUUUGUUAUUGUGAAAAAUGAUGUUUUUUCACACACUUUCCACCUUUUAAGAGCUACAUGUAUAUUUCUCAAGUAAUUUUCUCUGGUCAUGAAAAAAAUUCUACAUUUGAAUUGUGUUUACUCACAGCUUUUGUCUCUAUUGCUUACAUUUGUUUAAUGUUUUUUAUGUAAAAUCCACGCUUUAAAAUCUUUUUCCUGUGCUUGUCCACAUUGUACACGUCCUAAAAUUGAAAAAUGGAAGUGGUGUAUAAAUCAGAAUAUCUGAGCUUCAGAGUCAGGGAGCAAACAUUUUGUUUCUUAUCUAAGGAUUACCUAUUUAUUUCUUUAAGUAUCAUCACAUUUAGGAAUUUGUCUUUUUAUUGAAAGUUAAAUCAGUUGGGCUUCAAGAUAUUUGUUAGUUCAUACAGCAAUCUAUAAAUUACAAGUUAGAGAGGUCAGAUAUCAAAAUUUGCUCAUGUUUUGGUGAUG
rnacentral:lncRNA from 12 species